rnacentral:rRNA from 1 species
AUUGAACGCUGGCGGCAUGCUUUACACAUGCAAGUCGAACGGUAACAGGUUAAGCUGACGAGUGGCGAACGGGUGAGUAAUGCAUCGGAACGUGCCCGAUCGUGGGGGAUAACGCAGAGAAAGCUGCGCUAAUACCGCAUACGAUCUGAGGAUGAAAGCGGGGGACCGUAAGGCCUCGCGCGAUCGGAGCGGCCGAUGUCAGAUUAGGUAGUUGGUGGGGUAAAGGCUCACCAAGCCAACGAUCUGUAGCUGGUCUGAGAGGACGACCAGCGACACUGGGACUGAGACACGGCCCAGACUCCUACGGGAGGCAUCAGUGGGGAAUUUUGGACAAUGGGCGAAAGCCUGAUCCAGCAAUGCCGCGUGCAGGAAGAAGGCCGUCGGGUUGUAAACUGCUUUUGUACGGAGCGAAAAGGCCCUCUCUAAUACAGUGGGCUCAUGACGGUACCGUAAGAAUAAGCACCGGCUAACUACGUGCCAGCAGCCGCGGUAA